CCCUUUAAUGAGUUCUUGUUUUCCUGACUGCAGCUCUCUUCAUUCUGCCAACCUUUUCCAACUCCAUGAUGAUCCUGCAGGUUUCAGGGGGCCCCUGGACAGUGGCUCUGACAGCAUUACUGAUGGUGCUGCUCAUAUCUGUGGUCCAGAGCAGGGCCACUCCAGAGAAUUCCGUCUACCAGGAACGGCAGGAAUGCUAUGCGUUCAAUGGGACUCAGCGCGUUGUGGACGGGCUCAUCUACAACCGGGAGGAAUACGUGCAUUUUGACAGCGCAGUGGGGGAGUUCCUAGCAGUGAUGGAGCUGGGGCGGCCCAUAGGCGAGUACUUCAAUAGCCAGAAGGACUUUAUGGAACGGAAGCGAGCCGAGGUGGACAAGGUGUGCAGACACAAGUACGAGCUGAUGGAGCCACUCAUCCGGCAGCGCCGAG
ensembl:lncRNA novel transcript